GACGAACGCUGGCGGCGUGCUUAACACAUGCAAGUCGAACGGAAAGGCCCUGCUUUUGUGGGGUGCUCGAGUGGCGAACGGGUGAGUAACACGUGAGUAACCUGCCCUUGACUUUGGGAUAACUUCAGGAAACUGGGGCUAAUACCGGAUAGGAGCUCCUGCUGCAUGGUGGGGGUUGGAAAGUUUCGGCGGUUGGGGAUGGACUCGCGGCUUAUCAGCUUGUUGGUGGGGUAGUGGCUUACCAAGGCUUUGACGGGUAGCCGGCCUGAGAGGGUGACCGGCCACAUUGGGACUGAGAUACGGCCCAGACUCCUACGGGCGGCAGCAGUGGGGAAUAUUGCACACUGGGCGGAAGCCUGAUGCAGCAACGCCGCGUGCGGGAUGACUGCCUUCGGGUUGUAAACCGCUUUCGCCUGUGACGAAGCGUGAGUGACGGUAAUGGGUAAAGAAGCACCGGCUAACUACGUG
rnacentral:rRNA from 1 species